GACUUCCCCUUAGCCAGUCUGCCGUUGCUUGGUUAUGCUGUAAACACGCCAGAGGAGGAAGAUGGCAUUCACAAAGACCAUGUGUUCAAGCUUCAGUUCAAAAAUCAUGUCUACUUCUUCAGAGCAGAAUCUGAAUACACAUUUGAAAGGUGGAUGGAAGUGAUCAACAGUGCAACAAACAGUGCCAGGAGAAUUCGCCUCUUUAGUCGAUUGGACAGCAAUCAGCCAAUCAGCUCUUAGCAGUUCUUCUAUUGGACAGAAAUUAACCAAUCAGUUUUCAGCACAAAGCUUUUUUUAUUAUUAUUGAAUUACGGUAUUGAAAUGGGUUUAUCAGAACACAGCAGAAGUGUAUUUUGCAGUGAAAAAUAAUUCAUUGAAUGAAACUACCAAAAAAAAGGCUCAACAUACAAUGUUACAUUUAUUGGUACAUGUACUGUGGAAUUGCACCAUAUCGUAUCAAACUAAUGUGAACAAGGAUUCCAUCAAAUUUACACAGAGAUCAUUUGCCUAGUCAAGCUAUUCGCACUUUUAGUUUUAUGUUUUGUUGCAUCUUGUUUUACAUGAAUAGGUUUUGAAUUUUUCUUUUUGCAUUUUAUUCCCCCUGCCAGCAGCUGUAUUAGAAUCUAUGCAAUACAAUACAAUAUAAAUCGUGUUUAUAUUUGAUGUAAUAACAAAUUACAGACAUUAGGAAUCAAAAUUGACAACAUGCAUCCAUGUAAACACACUUCCAUAAAGGGCCCGAGCCAGAUCUAAUGUACAAUGUUAUUCAUAUGCUGCUACUUUUAAUUUCAUACUCAUUAACCGUCACCCACAAUAACGUGUGUAACCAGUGUAUUUUAUUUACGAUAACUCUGUAUUAUGCAAUUAAAGGAGGAAAAAAAAAUUACACAGAAAGGAAUAAGAAAACAAUUAAUGGCAGCAUUAGAUAUGUCUGUGUUGUGUACCCAUUCCAGGCUAUACAAAUGACUAUAACAAUGUAUCGAUGUAAAAGUAGAAAUAAUGUGUUUAUUGUAAUAAUUAUUUUAUCAUACUUAGGUAUUCGUUAGGAAGUUAUAUUAUUUUUUUUUUAUAUAAACAUAUUUAAGGUAUUAUUGACAGAGUUACUCCUUUUAUAAUUUCUACGAAGCUGCAAAAUCUGGCCUAGGGGCAGUAAAACUUAGACGAGCUCACUUUUGAUCUGGGUCUAACUUUUCCCAAAGGAAAUAACUGGAAAAGUGAGACUAAGCUCAAAGUGAGCUUGUUUAGGUUUAAUGGCCCCUAGGCCUGCACUAUGGUAGUGUUUUCUUUUAAUUUAGAAAGUUCUAACUAUAAAAUUUUUAUUGUAUAGUCUCUGUUUUGUAAUAGACUGUUCUAAGCUGUCUACUGUGACUAUAUACCUAAGACACAUGAACUCUAUAUGAAAUUUUGUCGCCUAAUUAAGGAAACAGUUAAUUAUUAAUUACCAUUUAUAAUCAGGUUAGGGAGCAUUUUAUUCAAAUACACAAAAAACUUUACAUGCUUCAAUUUUGUUUUGUUUUUAAUUUCUGAUAACAAAAUUAAUUUGCUAUUAGCCCAUUAAAUUCCUGUAAAAACUUAGAAAAUAAAAUAGAUUUGUAGCCUUUACAAAAUUUUUUUUAAGCAGUAUUUCAAUAAGGACUUGGCUUUUGCAUCCUUUUUUUUUUGUAGGAAUGUGAAGUUUUUGUUAUACAUUUAGCUUUUUUGUUUACAAUUUUAUUUUAGUUUAAGGUUGUUGAGAGAGGAAUUUUUAUUUAACCUUAUUUUUACAAGAGAUUUAUUUUCUACUCUGUGAUUUUGUGGAAGAAAAUUUUUAAUUAAUAUUCUAAUUCUAUAUAUUUCUAAAGGGGAAAAAAUUAUCAGUUUUAGUUGCCUAGCAACAAAUAUUUUGGUGAUUGAAAAUGAGAGAUUAUAAAAUGAUCUCUUAAUUUGCACAUAUUUAUUUCACCUUUGCUUAAAAGGGGAAAAGUUAAUUUACCAAAAUAAAAAAAAAUGUGCUAAUUAAAUGUUAAAUAUUUGCAAGCUUGUUCAAUUCAUCUAUGAUUUAUAUCAAUGCUACAUGUAGAUAAAAAGCUAACUUUCUGAUGCUUUUUGUUUCUUGAAGUCUGUGUUCAAUGGUAAUUUAUGUUCUAAACACUUCACUGAAGAAAUAUUGACUAUUCUUUAUGCAUUUAAUGUACUUGAAGAAAGGUGCAUGAUAUAUGUACCCAUUUUCCAUUAUUGAUGAAAAAAGUAUAUUUUAUUUCAGAAUGCAAUAUAACCUUUUUUGUUUUGAACUUAUGGAAGAAAUAAUGUGUUAGAAAAUCAAGAUCAUGUUUAAUUACAUGUAUAGGAGGUUGUCUUUAUACAUGUAAAACUUCGACACAAGGAAUUUUUGUAAAACAUAAAUGUAUCUGGAAUAUUUAUUUUUCCUGGUGCUUAUAUAUCUAGAGAAUUGUACAUAAGAAAUACACAACAUGUUAACUUGUGAAUACUUUAUAAAAUGAAAUGAAUCUUUUUUUAAACAAUAAAUUACACUUAAAACUAUCA